rnacentral:rRNA from 1 species
AUUGAACGCUGGCGGCAUGCUUUACACAUGCAAGUUGAACGGUAACAGGUUAAGCUGACGAGUGGCGAACGGGUGAGUAAUGCAUCGGAACGUGCUCAGUCGUGGGGGAUAACGCAGCGAAAGCUGCGCUAAUACCGCAUACGAUCUGAGGAUGAAAGCGGGGGACCGUAAGGCCUCGCGCGAUCGGAGCGGCCGAUGUCAGAUUAGGUAGUUGGUGGGGUAAAGGCUCACCAAGCCAACGAUCUGUAGCUGGUCUGAGAGGACGACCAGCCACACUGGGACUGAGACACGGCCCAGACUCCUACGGGAGGCAGCAGUGGGGAAUUUUGGACAAUGGGCGAAAGCCUGAUCCAGCAAUGCCGCGUGCAGGAAGAAGGCCUUCGGGUUGUAAACUGCUUUUGUACGGAGCGAAAAGGUCUCCUCUAAUACAGGGGGCUCAUGACGGUACCGUAAGAAUAAGCACCGGCUAACUACGUGCCAGCAGCCGCUGUAA